rnacentral:rRNA from 1 species
UUGGUGAGGUAACGGCUCACCAAGGCGACGAUGCGUAGCCGACCUGAGAGGGUGAUCGGCCACACUGGGACUGAGACACGGCCCAGACUCCUACGGGAGGCAGCAGUAGGGAAUCUUCCGCAAUGGACGAAAGUCUGACGGAGCAACGCCGCGUGAGUGAUGAAGGUUUUCGGAUCGUAAAACUCUGUUGUUAGGGAAGAACAAGUACCGUUCGAAUAGGGCGGCACCUUGACGGUACCUAACCAGAAAGCCACGGCUAACUACGUGCCAGCAGCCGCGGUAAUACGUAGGUGGCAAGCGUUGUCCGGAAUUAUUGGGCGUAAAGCGCGCGCAGGCGGUUUCUUAAGUCUGAUGUGAAAGCCCCCGGCUCAACCGGGGAGGGUCAUUGGAAACUGGGGAACUUGAGUGCAGAAGAGGAGAGUGGAAUUCCACGUGUAGCGGUGAAAUGC